GCGGAUGUGGUGAAAUUGGUAGACACGCUAGAUUUAGGUUCUAGUGAGAUUAUCUUGUGAGAGUUCGAGUCUCUCCGUCCGCAC
rnacentral:tRNA from 1 species